rnacentral:rRNA from 1 species
GACGAACGCUGGCGGUGUGCUUAACACAUGCAAGUCGAACGGAAAGGCCCUGCUUUUGUGGGGUGCUCGAGUGGCGAACGGGUGAGUAACACGUGAGUAACCUGCCCUUGACUUUGGGAUAACUUCAGGAAACUGGGGCUAAUACCGGAUAGGAGCUCCUGCUGCAUGGUGGGGGUUGGAAAGUUUCGGCGGUUGGGGAUGGACUCGCGGCUUAUCAGCUUGUUGGUGGGGUAGUGGCUUACCAAGGCUUUGACGGGUAGCCGGCCUGAGAGGGUGACCGGCCACAUUGGGACUGAGAUACGGCCCAGACUCCUACGGGAGGCAGCAGUGGGGAAUAUUGCACAAUGGGCGGAAGCCUGAUGCAGCAACGCCGCGUGCGGGAUGACGGCCUUCGGGUUGUAAACCGCUUUCGCCUGUGACGAAGCGUGAGUGACGGUAAUGGGCAAAGAAGCACCGGCUAACUACGUG